UAAUUAAGGCUUAAUUGUAUAUAUAUAGUUUUCUGUAAACAUAUUGAAUAGCAGAUAUAUUCAUAUAAAAUUUUAAUUUUUUAUUUUUACUCUUGCAAAAGUUCUAUCGUUUUUAAAUAUUUUUUCUGUUGUUAGGAUUCAUCGGAAAAAUAUAGUUUACCAUGAGUGAAAUACUUCAUUCUGAUUAGUGAAUGAGUUAAAUUAACUUUUUUAUCCCCCUAAUAUUAUUGGAUAAAAUAUUUUUUGGGAGCACAUUUUCAUAUAAUUCUAACGUUUAGGUUUUUUGAAGGGAUAUAUUUGUGAGGGCAAACAUGUUAUUUUAUUUAAUUGUUGUUAAAAAAUAAAUAGUGCUAUAUCAGUAACAAACUAGAGGGACAAAUAUGAAUAUUACUGAAUUUUUGUAGGAAUAAAAAUAAAAUUUUAAACUUUGUAAGAAUAUAUAUUUGCUAUUCGAUAUGUUAACAGAGUGUUGUAUACAAUUAUUUCUACAAUUAAAUUCAAUCAAAAUUAUUUAAUAAAGAAGUAAAAUCAAUAAAUUUAUCUAUCAACAAUAUUUUUUUGUUUUUUUUCAC
rnacentral:lncRNA from 1 species